rnacentral:lncRNA from 1 species
GGUUGGCCGGGUCACCGGACACAUUUUUUUAAACUAGAUACCCCAAUGAUGAUUGUGGCCAAGUUUGGUUUAAUUUGGCCCAGUAGUUUCAGAGGAGAAGAUUUUUGUAAAAGUUAACGACGACGGACGACGGACGACGACGGACGACGGACGCAAAGUGAUUGGAUAAGCUCACUUGGCCCUUUGGGCCAGGUGAGCUAAAAA